rnacentral:tRNA from 1 species
UAUAUAUAAGUGUUUAAGCACAAAAAUUUUUGAAAUUUUUAGUUUUAGAAUAUAUUUCUAUAAUAUAUAU